AUUGAAAGCUGGCGGCAGGCCUAACACAUGCAAGUCGAGCGAGCGGCGGACGGGUGAGUAAUGUAUGGGGAUCUGCCCGAUAGAGGGGGAUAACUACUGGAAACGGUAGCUAAUACCGCAUACUAUCGGAUGAACCCAUAUGGGAUUAGCUAGUAGGUGGGGUAAAGGCUCACCUAGGCGACGUUCUCUAGCUGGGCUGGGAGGAUGAUCAGCCACACUGGGAGAGAUACACGGCCGAGACUCCUACUGGAGGUAGCAGUGGGGAAUAUUGCACGAUGGGCGCAAGCCUGAUGCAGCCAUGCCGCGUGUAUGAAGAAGUCCUUGCGGUUGUAAAGUACUUUCCGCGGGGAGGUGUUCCCCGCAGAAGAAGCACCGGCUAACUCCGUGCCAGCAGCCGCGGUAAUAC
rnacentral:rRNA from 1 species